CAGGUUAAUAUUCCUGAGCCGUGAGGUAGUGACGGAUCGCAAAGGUAGUUUGCCCUUAUCGGAUUGGGUGGGCUGCUCAGCGGUCCCUGGAAAUAGCUCCUCUAUAAGACCGUACCCUAAACCGACACAGGUGGACUGGUAGAGAAUACCAAGGCGCUUGAGAGAACCACAUUUAAGGAACUCGGCAAAAUGCCUCCGUAAGUUCGCGAGAAGGAGGCCCCGUCUGUAGGCAACUAUGGGCGGGGGGCACAAACUAGGGGGUGGCGACUGUUUACUUAAAACACAGGGCUCUGCGAAGUCGUAAGACGACGUAUAGGGUCUGACGCCUGCCCGGUGCUGGAAGGUUAAAAGGAGAGGUGCAAGCCUUGAAUUGAAGCCCCAGUAAACGGCGGCCGUAACGAUAACGGUCCUAAGGUAGCGAAAUUCCUUGUCGGGUAAGUUCCGACCUGCACGAAUGGCGUAACGAUCUCCCCGCUGUCUCAAAUGUGGACUCAGCGAAAUUGAACUGUGUGUCAAGAUGCACACUUCCCGCGGUUAGACGGAAAGACCCCAUGCACCUUUACUAUAGCUUCGCACUGGCAUCAGGAUUGAGAUGUGCAGGAUAGGUGGUAGGCAUCGAACCGGGGACGCCAGUCCUCGUGGAGCCUCCCUUGAGAUACCACCCUUCUUACUCUUGAUGUCUAACCGCGGUCCAUUAUCUGGAUCCGGGACCCUGCGUGGUGGGUAGUUUGACUGGGGCGGUCGCCUCCUAAGUGUAACGGAGGCGCGCGAAGGUUGGCUCAGAGCGGUCGGAAAUCGCUCGUUGAGUGCAAUGGCAGAAGCCAGCCUGACUGCAAGACUGACAAGUCGAGCAGAGACGAAAGUCGGCCAUAGUGAUCCGGUGGUCCCGAGUGGAAGGGCCAUCGCUCAACGGAUAAAAGGUACGCUGGGGAUAACAGGCUGAUGAUGCCCAAGAGUCCAUAUCGACGGCAUCGUUUGGCACCUCGAUGUCGGCUCAUCUCAUCCUGGGGCUGGAGCAGGUCCCAAGGGUACGGCUGUUCGCCGUUUAAAGAGGUACGUGAGCUGGGUUUAGAACGUCGUGAGACAGUUCGGUCCCUAUCUGCCGUGGGUGUAGGAGAUUUGAGAAGAGUUGCCCCUAGUACGAGAGGACCGGGGUGAACGUUCCACUGGUGGACCAGUUAUCAUGCCAAUGGUAGUGCUGGGUAGCUAUGAACGGACAGGAUAAUCGCUGAAGGCAUCUAAGCGAGAAGCCCCCUUCAAAACAAGAUCUCCCUUGAGAGCCGUGGAAGACCACCACGUCGAUAGGCCAGAGGUGUAAGUGCAGCAAUGCAUUCAGCUGACUGGUACUAAUUGCUC
rnacentral:rRNA from 1 species